rnacentral:rRNA from 1 species
UAUGGUGUGUGCCAGCCGCCGCGGUAAUACGGAAGGUCCGGGCGUUAUCCGGAUUUAUUGGGUUUAAAGGGAGCGUAGGCGGGCUGGAAAGUCAGUUGUGAAAGUUCGGGGCUCAACCUCGGAAUUGCAGUUGAAACUGUCAGUCUUGAGUUCACGCAGGGGCGCUGGAAUUCAUGGUGUAGCGGUGAAAUGCUUAGAUAUCAUGAAGAACUCCGAUCGCGAAGGCAUGUGCCCGGAGUGCGACUGACGCUGAGGCUCGAAAGUGCGGGUAUCAAACAGG